GUGUCAGCCGCCGCGGUAAAACGUAGGAGGCGAGCGUUAUCCGGAUUUACUGGGCGUAAAGCGCACGCAGGCGGCUCUGUGAGUCGGACGUGAAAGCUCCUGGCUUAACUGGGAGAGGUCGUUCGAUACUGCAGGGCUUGAGGUUGGGAGAGGGGUGUGGAAUUCCCGGUGUAGUGGUGGAAUGCGUAGAUAUCGGGAGGAACACCAGUGGCGAAAGCGGCACCCUGGCCCACACCUGACGCUGAGGUGCGAAAGCGUGGGUAGCAAACAGGAUUAGAUACCCUGGUAGUCCACGCUGUAAACGAUGUCAACUAGGUGUUGGUGGUGUUACACUAUCAGUGCCGUAGCAAACGCGUUAAGUUGACCGCCUGGGGACUACGGCCGCAAGGCUAAA
rnacentral:rRNA from 1 species